rnacentral:rRNA from 1 species
UACAUGUGGGGCAAGCGUUGUUCGGAAUUACUGGGCAUAAAGGGUGCGUAGGUGGUCUGUUAAGUCAGUGGUGAAAUCCCCCGGGCUCAACCCGGGAACGGCUUGGUAUACUGGGUGCCUUGAGCCAGCUAGGGGCGACCGGAACAAACGGUGGAGCGGUGAAAUGCGUAGAUAUCGUUUGGAACGCCAACGGUGAAAACAGGUCGCUGGGGCUGUGCUGACGCUGAGGAGCGAAAGCGUGGGGAGCGAACAGG